GCCAAAGUGGCGGAAUUGGUAGACGCAGCGGAUUCAAAAUCCGCCGCUAGCGAUAGUGUGUGGGUUCGAGUCCCACCUUUGGCA
rnacentral:tRNA from 1 species